AUGGGGAUGUCUCUGGGAAUAAGGCCUCUUCUGUGCUCCCAGGAGCUCUCAGACUGUAGGAGAAAAAGGGUGCUUAUCCUUAAGUUAGAAGUCAUUCCUGGUCUCUGCUUUUCUGAACUGGACUCAGCAGCCCUCCAAGUACAAUUUUUAGAGACCAACUGGAAAGAGAAAGAACUGAAAGCUUCUAAGAAACAUCUGUCUUCAGAGGAAGGAGAGAGGAACUCCUGUCAGAGGCAGGACACCCAAUGAUUAUGAAAUAUGGAUGGAAUCUGGUCGAAAAGCCAAGAAAAAAAGGAAAAACAUGGGGGAUUGGACCUAAACUGACUGAUGACCUUCAUGGAAUUUGGACUGUCAUCUACCUCUUCAGAAAUAGAGAAAAAUAUGGUCCUUGGCCAUGUGAAUAUCACCUCUCCUAGUCUUCCAACCUGCUGUGAUUAGAAAGGAAGGCAAGGCAACACAGUUUCAAAGGGUUUUCAUGCUGCAUGAGUUUGGUUUGUCUUCAGGCAUGUAUAUUUAAUGCUCAUAUAUUUAGUUGCUAAAUCUGUAUGCAACUCCAGGAUUAAAAUAUGUUUUGCAUGAAAGGUUCAAAUGAAAGAAAAGGUCACAGAGGGGUCUGGGUAGACACAUUCUCUAAAGUUCUUUUGACAGUAAACUCAAAAUACAAUGCAGAAAAAAGCAUAACCUCUGUGAGUUUAAUGUAAAACUGGGAAUGUUUUCAAGAAGGGCAAUGACUUUGUUCCUGAAGUCCACUUUUGUAUUGAAUAAACAUAGUAUAAAAUUUUAUCUUACA
rnacentral:lncRNA from 1 species